rnacentral:lncRNA from 1 species
UGGGUAAUACUAAUGGUGAUGAGUUAUAAACUUGAGACGAGCCAAUACGAGCGCAGAAUCUGGCGCUGCGGAAGAAUUGAUUUCCGGGUUUUGAAGUUAAGAGGCAACUCUCUCUCUCGUGAACGGAUGCCUGAUGAGCGCUGUGUCUCGAUGCUCCGGGAAACAGAAAUAUAGAAAAUAGCCUUAUAGAUGAGUUUGGUCGAUGGAUUGAUGUGAGUGAAAAGACACAUUUUAUUUCCUAUUACAUAUAAGUGAGGUUGGUAUUGUUAUGAGAGUGAAAUGAACACUCAUCUGUUUAAUAUAAAAGUGUAUGCUGAUAUACAUAUACUUAAAUAGCAUCAGAGUAUUGCUAAAGUAUUUAUGAAGUGAAUUUUUGAUUAAAAAGGGUAAAGGGAGCAAUUGUAAUGGGGCGUGCUGUGCCUGCACCAUUCUGGAAUUUUCUGAGUUAAACGAUCUCCUUGUGGUUCUGAGGAGGGUUUGGACUGGCGAGCCUCCCUUGAGUUUGUUCUUGGAUCUUUCUGUUGAAGAAGUAUUCACACUGAUUGAACUGCGAAUGGUAGGAAAAAGACUAACUUUCCUCAUCUUUUUUUUUCCCGGAUGGAGACCUUUUUCAUUACCAACAGAAAAAGGACAAUUAUUAUUAUUUUUUCCUCUAAAAACUAAUUAUUUAUUAUUUUUUUUCCUCUAAAAACUUUCCAAAGCACUCUUUCACAAGGACUGCACAUUCUGAUUGGAUUCCAUCUGAAAAAAAAAAAAACAUUUGUUGUGUAAUUGGGUUGUAUGUUUUUUAUUUGGGAUUUACCUUGUUGAAACCCAAAGAGAAAAAAAAUGAGACCUAAAGUGUUGAGAUCUUACAUUCUGGUUGAAAAAGAAAUACAUAUCUACAUUUGAUUUUAUUUCAUUUUAUUUGUUAUCAACCAAUGUAAUUCACCUGUUGUCAUUCACCUGAAAAUACAGUGUGUGUUCAAACGAGUUUUCACUGUUGUUGUGGCAUCUUUCUCAGCAGCGAAUCUGUUUCUUCUGAAACGCUGGUCCAUAGAUUGCAUUAGGUUAAUAGCCGGAGAGUAAGCGCUACAAUUAGGCAGAGUCAGGAAACUGGAUGAAACCAGCAAAGGGUCUUUUUAAGGGUCUUGUGAUUGGGAUAAGGUGACCAGAUUUCUCAAAUGUAAACUAGUGACAUUUCCUAGUUCAGUAGUCAAGGUUUGAUAUGCUGCUAUUAAAAUGAAUAAGUAGGGAUCCAAGUGUGAAGCACUGAAACCCUAUUGGAAUUGUAAGGAUUUUUUUUUAUUAUUAUUCCGGACAAGGCGCAAGACCUUUACUAUUAGCUAUUAUUAUUUGGUAACAAGAUCGGCAGUUUAAGCCAUCAACUUUGUAAGCACAUAAAACAAGACACUUUUCUUUAAAUACAAACAAACAAUGCUUAUUGAACAAUUCUAAGCACAUGUAAACUAAAACAUGUAAACAAACACACAAACAAACACACUUUUUUUCUUUUCUCUGUCAAACAAUUGCUCUGAACAAUCACAUAACUGAGGGAAAAGGAUUAAUCUAUUAUGUUAUCAGUUCAUCAAUUGAAAAAUAUAGUGAAAUACUAUAAUAAGGUUAUAUCUCUUAUGCAGAGACACAAAGUCAGUCAUACUGAUUGACAAAUGAGACCCAGGAGAGAUUUUAAAUUCCUAUAUGUUUAUCCCCCAAAGCCAUGAGCUAAAUUAAAAAGUGUUUACAGAGGCUUCUGGCUCAAUCCUCAAAAAAAUAAGGGAUCGUGAAACUAAGCUAUUGCUACUGAAGAUGUACCCACAGCCAAGACUGAAGUGUUAUGCAAUAUAAAAGUGAUAUGUAAUUAUGGCAGCUAAUUUUUGCAGAAGUAUUAGAUAAGAGACCAAACAUCUCUUAUAACUCCUUACUCAACAGUUCAGAUGUUGUAACACCUAAUUACUGUAGAUUGUA